rnacentral:rRNA from 1 species
GACGAACGCUGUGCGGCGUGCUUAACACAUGCAAGUCGAACGGAAAGGCCCUGCUUUUGUGGGGUGCUCGAGUGGCGAACGGGUGAGUAACACGUGAGUAACCUGCCCUUGACUUUGGGAUAACUUCAGGAAACUGGGGCUAAUACCGGAUAGGAGCUCCUGCUGCAUGGUGGGGGUUGGAAAGUUUCGGCGGUUGGGGAUGGACUCGCGGCUUAUCAGCUUGUUGGUGGGGUAGUGGCUUACCAAGGCUUUGACGGGUAGCCGGCCUGAGAGGGUGACCGGCCACAUUGGGACUGAGAUACGGCCCAGACUCCUACGGGAGGCAGCAGUGGGGAAUAUUGCACAAUGGGCGGAAGCCUGAUGCAGCAACGCCGCGUGCGGGAUGACGGCCUUCGGGUUGUAAACCGCUUUCGCCUGUGACGAAGCGUGAGUGACGGUAAUGGGUAAAGAAGCACCGGCUAACUACGUGCCAGCAGCCGCGGUGAUACGUAGGGUGCGAGCGUUGUCCGGAUUUAUUGGGCGUAAAGGGCUCGUAGGUGGUUGAUCGCGUCGGAAGUGUAAUCUUGGGGCUUAACCCUGAGCGUGCUUUCGAUACGGGUUGACUUGAGGAAGGUAGGGGAGAAUGGAAUUCCUGGUGGAGCGGUGGAAUGCGCAGAUAUCAGGAGGAACACCAGUGGCGAAGGCGGUUCUCUGGGCCUUUCCUGACGCUGAGGAGCGAAAGCGUGGGGAGCGAACAGGCUUAGAUACCCUGGUAGUCCACGCUGUAAACGGUGGGUACUAGGUGUGGGGUCCAUUCCACGGGUUCCGUGCCGUAGCUAACGCUUUAAGUACCCCGCCUGGGGAGUACGGCCGCAAGGCUAAAACUCAAAGGAAUUGACGGGGCCCCGCACAAGCGGCGGAGCAUGCGGAUUAAUUCGAUGCAACGCGUAGAACCUUACCUGGGUUUGACAUGGAUCGGGAGUGCUCAGAGAUGGGUGUGCCUCUUUUGGGGUCGGUUCACAGGUGGUGCAUGGCUGUCGUCAGCUCGUGUCGUGAGAUGUUGGGUUAAGUCCCGCAACGAGCGCAACCCUUGUUCACUGUUGCCAGCACGUUAUGGUGGGGACUCAGUGGAGACCGCCGGGGUCAACUCGGAGGAAGGUGGGGAUGACGUCAAGUCAUCAUGCCCCUUAUGUCCAGGGCUUCACGCAUGCUACAAUGGCUGGUACAGAGAGUGGCGAGCCUGUGAGGGUGAGCGAAUCUCGGAAAGCCGGUCUCAGUUCGGAUUGGGGUCUGCAACUCGACCUCAUGAAGUCGGAGUCGCUAGUAAUCGCAGAUCAGCAACGCUGCGGUGAAUACGUUCCCGGGGCUUGUACACACCGCCCGUCAAGUCAUGAAAGUUGGUAACACCCGAAGCCGGUGGCCUAACCGUUGUGGGGGAGCCGUCGAAGGUGGGACUGGUGAUUAGGACUAAGAC